CAGCCGCCGCGGGAAUACAGAGGCCUCAAGCGUUGUUCGGAUUCAUUGGGCGUAAAGGGUGCGUAGGUGGCUUGGUAAGUUGAAGGUGAAAUCUCGGGGCUUAACCCCGAAACUGCCUUCAAUACUGCUAGGCUCGAGGACUGUAGAGGAGAAUGGAAUUCACGGUGUAGCAGUGAAAUGCGUAGAUAUCGUGAGGAAGACCAGUGGCGAAGGCGAUUCUCUGGGCAGUUCCUGACACUGAGGCACGAAGGCCAGGGGAGCAAACGGGAUUAGAUACCCCGGUAGUCCCUGUCUCUUAUAC
rnacentral:rRNA from 1 species